rnacentral:rRNA from 1 species
CAGCAGCCACGGGAAUACGUAGGCGGCAAGCGUUGUCCGGAAUUAUUGGGCGUAAAGGGAGCGCAGGUGGGACGGUAAGUCCGUCUUAAAAGGCAGGGGCUCAGCCCCUGUAAGGGAUGGAAACUAUCGAUCUUGAGUGCCGGAGAGGAAAGCGGAAUUCCCAGUGUAGCGGUGAAAUGCGUAGAUAUUGGGAAGAACACCAGUGGCGAAGGCGGCUUUCUGGACGGCAACUGACACUGAGGCUCGAAAGCCAGGGGAGCGAACGGGAUUAGAUACCCGGGUAGUCCCUGUCUCUUAUACA